AUAUUCACUUCAUUAGCACAUAUACUAAAAUUGGAACAAGACAGAGAAGAUUAGCAUGGCCCUUGUGCAAGGAUGACACACAAAUUUGUAAAGAGGUCCAUAUUUAA
ensembl:snRNA U6 U6 spliceosomal RNA